CCUACGCGAGGCAGCAGUGGGGAAUAUUGGUCAAUGGACGCAAGUCUGAACCAGCCAUGCCGCGUGCAGGAAGACGGCUCUAUGAGUUGUAAACUGCUUUUGUACGAGGGUAAACGCAGAUACGCGUAUCUGUCUGAAAGUAUCGUACGAAUAAGUAUCGGCUAACUCCGUGCCAGCAGCCGCGGUAAUACGGAGGAUUCAAGCGUUAUCCGGAUUUAUUGGGUUUAAAGGGUUCGUAGGCGGUCUGAUAAGUUAGAUGUGAAAUCCCGAGGCUCAACUGCGGAAUUGCCUCUGAUACUGUCAGGCUUGAGAGUAGUUGCGGUAGGCGGAAUGUAUGGUGUAGCGGUGAAAUGCUUAGAGAUCACAAAGAACACCGAUUGCGAAGGCAGCUUACCAAGCUACUUCUGACGUUGAGGCACGAAAGCGUGGGGAGCAAACAGGAUUAGAUACCCGUGUAGUC
rnacentral:rRNA from 1 species